rnacentral:rRNA from 1 species
UACGAAGGGUGCAAACGUUGCUCGGAAUCAUUGGGCGUAAAGCGCACGUAGGCGGCUUGCCAAGUCGGACGUGAAAUCCCUCAGCUCAACUGAGGACGUGCAUCCGAAACUGGCGAGCUUGAGUGCUGAAGAGGAUCGCGGAAUUCCCGGUGUAGAGGUGAAAUUCGUAGAUAUCGGGAGGAACACCAGUGGCGAAGGCGGCGAUCUGGGCAGACACUGACGCUGAGGUGCGAAAGCCAGGGGAGCAAACGGG